rnacentral:misc_RNA from 1 species
AAAGUCGUAACAAGGUCUCCGUUGGUGAACCAGCGGAGGGAUCAUUAGUGAGACUCAGCGCUCCAACCCUUGCGAAUCCUACCAUUGCGGCGUUGUUUCGGCGGGUUUGUUGGUGGAUGGCAAUCCCUUCUGGGAGAGCCGUACACUGGCAUUCCGCCUGGCCAGCGGAGCCCGCCGGCAGCGCCAAAUUCUAUUUUAUAGCACAACUAUAUUCUGAGUGGCAAUACAAAACAAAGCAAAACUUUCAACAACGGAUCUCUUGGUUCUG